GUGCUCACUUCGGCAGCACAUAUACUAACAGUGGAAUGAUACAGAGAAGAUUAGCACAGCCCUUGUGCAAGGAUGACAUGCAAAUCUGCGAGUCGUUCCAUAUUUAA
ensembl:snRNA U6 U6 spliceosomal RNA